GCUUCGUGUCCUGGGUUCCGGGAGCGCCAACCCCUCCAGCAGAGGGGACGUGGCUGGUGGCUGGAGAAGCUGCAUUUGCCCUUCGACGGUGGCCCUCUUGAUCCCCGGCUUGCUGAAGUCAAAGGAGAGGCUGUCGAUGCUGAGGCACGAGAGAAUUUGCUCCUGCUCCUCCAGAGAAAAUGGCUGGGACAGGCUGUUCAGGAAUAAUUCUGCAGGGAAAAGUGGAAGAUGGAUGUGAAAGACUGGGAGAAGGCUGGCUGUGUUUUCAGGGGUUCUUCCUGCACAGUCGUUAGAAGCUGAACUGCUGGGGAAGGGGCUGGAAGAAAGCCCACACUGCAGGUAUCAGUAGCAAAUUCAAAAACUACAGAAAUCAGCUCCAGAGGACUUUGUUAACAAGAAAGAGAAGAUUGAAAACAGCCCUGGGGCUACACCAACUCAAGAGCUCCCAGGCAAAGUGGCGU
rnacentral:antisense_RNA from 1 species